GACGAACGCUGGCGGCGUGCCUAAUACAUGCAAGUAGAACGCACAGUUUAUACCGUAGCUUGCUACACCAUAGACUGUGAGUUGCGAACGGGUGAGUAACGCGUAGGUAACCUGCCUGGUAGCGGGGGAUAACUAUUGGAAACGAUAGCUAAUACCGCAUAAUAUUGAUUAUUGCAUGAUAAUUAAUUGAAAGGUGCAAUUGCACCACUACCAGAUGGACCUGCGUUGUAUUAGCUAGUAGGUGAGGUAACGGCUCACCUAGGCGACGAUACAUAGCCGACCUGAGAGGGUGAUCGGCCACACUGGGACUGAGACACGGCCCAGACUCCUACGGGAGGCAGCAGUAGGGAAUCUUCGGCAAUGGACGAAAGUCUGACCGAGCAACGCCGCGUGAGUGAAGAAGGUUUUCGGAUCGUAAAGCUCUGUUGUAAAAGAAGAACGGGUGUGAGAGUGGAAAGUUCACACUGUGACGGUAUCUUACCAGAAAGGGACGGCUAACUACGUG
rnacentral:rRNA from 1 species